rnacentral:rRNA from 1 species
GAUGAACGCUGGCGGCGUGCCUAAUACAUGCAAGUCGAGCGAACGGACGAGGCGCUUGCUUUUCUGAUGUUUGCGGCGGACGGGUGUGUAACACGUGGAUAACCCACCUAUCAGUCUGGGAUAACUUCGGGAAACCGGAGCUAACACCGGAUAAUAUUCUGAACCGCAUGGUUCAAUAGUGAAUGACGGUCUUUCUGGCACUACUCGAUGGAUCCGCGCUGGAUUAGCUAGUUGGUAGGGUAACGGCCUACCAAGGCAAGGAUGCAUGACCGACCUGAGAGAGGGAUCGGCGGCAUGGGAACGGAGACACGGUCCAGACUACUACGGGAGGGAGCAGUAGGGAAUCGUCGGCAGUGGUCGAAAGCCUGACGGAGCAACGCCGCGUGUGAGAUGGAGGUCUUCGGAUCGUAAUACUCUGUUAUGAGUGGAGAACAGAUGUGGAAGGAGCUGUACACAUCUUGACGGUACCGGAUAAGGAAGCAACGGCUAACUACGUG